rnacentral:lncRNA from 11 species
GCCUGCCUUGAUGAAAAGUUCUGCAUACACAGAGCACAGCAGUCUCAAGGAGGAACUUUGUUUCAAGCCAGAACAAAUCUUCAGCUAAUUAUAAGAGAACUAUAUUAAGCACAAAAGAUCAUCUACUUAAAAGAACUCUAAUUAUAUGAACACAUAAAAGGAACCUGGGGCGGAGCAGGGGAAUACAAUGCUGAAGUGCCAAAGAACAUGAAAAUAGGGCGUCCAGCCACAUGGUGGCAGUGUGAGACUUCUCCAAGAAGGAACAACUUUGCUGAUCUGGGUUUGCCAAGACAAAGAUGCACCUUUGGAUCCAUGGCUACAGGAGAUUUCACAUAUGACUUUGGGGAUGCAGAAACUUGGGCAUCUCACUCUGUAAAGAUGAUUGUCCCCACCUGAGUCCCAGAAACAAUUGAUUCCAAGGCUAUUGAUGUCCCAUUCCAGUUGCUCCAUUCCAAGAUGUUAAUCAUUUUGAACAACAGGAGAAGGCA